ensembl:lncRNA
AAAGAGAGCAGCUCAGCGUCGAGUCUCACGUCUGGGUUUGUCAGCAGAAAGAGAGCAGCUCAGCGUUGAGUCUCACGUCUGGGUUUGUCAGCAGAAAGAGAGCAGCUCAGCGUCGAGUCACACGUCUGUGUUUUUUUCAGCAGGAGACGACUUGGGUGUACAGGUCCUGCCCUUGGAAAAGCUGAUCUGGACUGUCUCAUUGGACCGCCAAGGUCUGCCAGCCGGAACGUUCCAGAAUGUUUGUGAACGAUAGCUGGACACGUACUCACACACAUUGACUGUAGGUUUCCGACCCGUUGAAGAAUCCGGGCUCCCACUGUCUCGUCGUUGUAGGGUGGUACAGUAUGUGUGACAGCUGAACCCACCUGCCUGGACCUGGGUUCACUCCAAAUGGAACCCUACUUCCUACACAGUGACCUACUAUUGACAAGGAAGGGCCCAGUGAGCUGCACAGUUACAUGGCACACCACUGCUUCCCGUGUCAUCGGUGGUCAUCCGGCGUACACUGCGAGGCGCCUCCUGAGUGUUCAACCGCAGGGAAGGGGUUUCCUGAUGGAUGCGCCCACAGGGGAGGUGCUGGGUCCCCUGCUCGAGACAUCCUGGACCCAGCCCUCAUCGCCGACUUCCACUGCCGGCAACCGGGGCAACCAGGUACGCACCCAGGUAGGAUGCCAGGUGAUUGAUGAUCUAAGUAAGUGAUCUAAGUGAUUGUCUCUACCCCCCUCCAGGUGUUGCCCAUCUCCCCCCAUUAUCCCCUGUGUAUGUAUACCUGUGUUUUCUGUCUGUUCAGUUAACCAAUGUUUUUUUCUCAGCUUCUGCUUUUCCCCAGUCUCUUCUUUUUCUCGCCCUUCUGGUUUUGACCUUUGCCUGUCUUGUCUCUGAGCCCACCUGCCUGACCACUGCCUGUCCUGACCCUGAGCCCACCUGCCUGACCACUGCCUGUCCUGUCUCUGAGCCCACCUGCCUGACCACUGCCUGUCCUGUCUCUGAGCCCACCUGCCUGACCACUGCCUGUCCUGUCUCUGAGCCCACCUGCCGGAUCACUGCCUGUCCUGUCUCUGAGCCCACCUGCCUGACCACUGCCUGCCCUGACCCUAAGCCCACCUGCACGACCUUUGCCUGACCCUGAGCCCGCCUACCGUCCUGUACCUUUCCCCGACUACUCUGGACUAUUGAUCCCUGACUGCCUUGACCUGUCUAUUACCUGCCCCUGUGGGAUAAUUAAACUAUUGUUUAUUCAACGUGGUCUGCAU